rnacentral:rRNA from 1 species
UGGGGAAUAUUGCACAAUGGGGGAAACCCUGAUGCAGCGACGCCGCGUGAGUGAAGAAGUACUUCGGUACGUAAAGCUCUAUCAGCAGGGAAGAAGAUGACGGUACCUGACUAAGAAGCCCCGGCUAACUACGUGCCAGCAGCCGCGGUAAUACGUAGGGGGCAAGCGUUAUCCGGAAUUACUGGGUGUAAAGGGAGCGUAGGUGGCGAAGCAAGUCAGAUGUGAAAGCCCGGGGCUCAACUCCGGGACUGCAUUUGAAACUGUUUUGCUAGAGUGCAGGAGAGGUAAGUGGAAUUCCUAGUGUAGCGGUGAAAUGCGUAGAUAUUAGGAGGAACACCAGUGGCGAAGGCGGCUUACUGGACUGUAACUGACACUGAGGCUCGAAAGCGUGGGGAGCAAACAGG